AUUGAACGCUAGCGGCAUGCCUAACACAUGCAAGUCGAACGAGUGGCGGACGGGUGAGUAAUGUCUGGGAAAGUGCCUGAUGGAGGGGGAUAACUACUGGAAACGGUAGCUAAUACCGCAUACCAUCGGAUGUGCCCAGAUGGGAUUAGCUAGUAGGUGGGGUAAAGGCUCACCUAGGCGACGAUCCCUAGCUGGUCUGAGAGGAUGACCAUCCACACUGGAACUGAGACACGGUCCAGACUCCUACGGGAGGCAGCAGUGGGGAAUAUUGCACAAUGGGCGCAAGCCUGAUGCAGCCAUGCCGCGUGUAUGAUGAAGGCCUUCGGGUUGUAAAGUACUUUCAGCGGGGAAGCGGUACCCGCAGAAUAAGCACCGGCUAACUCCGUGCCAGCAGCCGCGGUAAUAC
rnacentral:rRNA from 1 species